CCUACGGGAGGCAGCAGUAGGGAAUAUUGCUCAAUGGGGGAAACCCUGAAGCAGCAACGCCGCGUGGGGGAUGAAGGUUUUCGGAUUGUAAACUCCUUUUGUUAGAGAAGAUAAUGACGGUAUCUAACGAAUAAGCACCGGCUAACUCCGUGCCAGCAGCCGCGGUAAUACGGAGGGUGCAAGCGUUACUCGGAAUCACUGGGCGUAAAGAGCGCGUAGGCGGGUUAGCAAGUCAGAUGUGAAACCCUAUGGGUUAACCAGAGAACUGCAUUUGAAACUGUUAGUCUAGAGUAUGGGAGAGGUAGGUGGAACUCGUGGUGUAGGGGUAAAAUCCGUAGAGAUCAAGAGGAAUACUCAUUGCGAAGGCGACCUGCUAGAACAUAACUGACGCUGAUGCGCGAAAGCGUGGGGAGCAAACAGGAUUAGAUACCCGAGUAGUC
rnacentral:rRNA from 1 species